UGAAAAGACGUAAAGGCAGUCAGCCCAGUGGUGUUUCUGGAGAGGGAUUCCUUCAGAAAUGGAGAAGACAGAAAGCUGCGGAGGCAGAUAUUUGCAGCAGUCUAAAAUAUCGAGCUCAACAGCUAUUUUAAGAGCCAACCCUCACAAACCUUCCUAAAACCUAAAAGAGCUAUUACUGAGUCUCAGCGAAUCUUGCCAUGAUCAGCUCUUCCCAGAAGAGAAGGAAGACCAAGGAAAUGAUUUGCUCAGGAUGAGAAAUGAAAACGGCCAUCUUGUGCUCAAACAAACAGAAGUCCACUGAUGAUCUCAUCAGCCAAAUGAGGGGUUUUGACCAAGUGAUGCUCUUGAAAGGAGAGAAAGAAGAGGAUGUGGUAAAUUCUCUUCAGAGAAAAAGCUUCUCAAAAGGUCUUAAAGCAGCUUGAAGAAUGGUCUGGGAUGUUAGGACUGAGAGAUCCUCUGGCUGAGAACAAGCUACACCACAUCAGUGCUGGACAUCAACCACAAACUGUUUCCAGACACGAGAGAAGAAGAACACGAUGGGGAGAUGAAACCAGUUUAGAUGUGAUGAUAAGGAAUCAUUAUUUUCUGGAACAGUAUCACAUGUCUUAUAUGUAUCACAUGAUCUGUAUCACAGUUGACUGAAUGGGACUGUGUGACUUUUAAGGACAUUUCAUCACUCAUCUGUGUGAACUGAUUUAUAUAUGAGGUUAAUGUAUUUUUGAUGAUAAUUAUUUUCAUUGAAUCUUAUUUGUCUUGAUGCUACUUUAUCAACUUUAUAGUCUAUGCUUCAAUAAAAUGAAAAUGGUGAA